rnacentral:snoRNA from 1 species
UUGCUGUGAUGUUUUAAAAUCAACACAUUAUUCUUACUGUAAAGUGAAGAAACAUUAAAAAAAUCACUGAGCAAA